UACGUAGGGUGCAAGCGUUGUCCGGAAUUAUUGGGCGUAAAGAGCUCGUAGGCGGUCUGUCGCGUCGAAUGUGAAAACCCGGGGCUCAACCCCGGGCCUGCAUUCGAUACGGGCAGACUAGAGUUCGGUAGGGGAGUCUGGAACUUCCGGUGGAGCGGUGAAAUGCGUUGAGAUCGGAAGGAACGCCCGUGGCGAAAGCGAGAUCCUGGACGUCUUCUGACGCUGAGACGCGAAAGCUAGGGGAGCAAACGGG
rnacentral:rRNA from 1 species